rnacentral:ncRNA from 1 species
GGCGACCGGCUGGACACGCAUGCCCCACGGCGAGCGAGCCCGGCCCACAAGUGGAGGCUUCGAGCUCCCACCCGACCGCCCCCCGGGCGGCGGGUCACCGGUCAGACGGCCCCGUCCCAGCGGCGGCGAUCCGUCCGAAUGCGCGCCCCGCGGCCAUCGCGGCGGUCGCUCCGGUAGUUCGAGGAGCCCCGCCUGUGAUCGUCCGGGGCAUUUUUG